rnacentral:lncRNA from 1 species
AGAAAACAAAGCAGCUUGUGAGUCUAUACCUGGCUGUAAACCAUGAUCAUCUCUUUCAAAGAUUUAAGAUUUAUCUACUAUGAGUGUUAAGUGAGUCUAUUAAUUAUAUUUAUAGUAUCUGGAUACUUUGAAGGUGUAUGUGCAAGUGUCAACAGCUACAGUAUGGCUAUUCUUAUUUUAUUUCCAGCGAACAAUUCUCAAAACUUAUUUUUCUCUAAUUUAUAUUAACAUUUUUGAAGUACAUUUUGGGUUAUAACCUUUUAUUUUAUAAUAUUUUCAUGAUUAGUUUCUUACAAUUUGAAUAAAUAAAAUAACUUUAAGGUAAAUUAUGUAAUUAAAUCAUAAUAAAGUAGCAAAAUUAGAUAUCAUUAUUUA